UGGGGAAUUUUGGACAAUGGGGGCAACCCUGAUCCAGCAAUGCCGCGUGUGUGAAGAAGGCCUUCGGGUUGUAAAGCACUUUUGUCCGGGAAGAAAUCCCCUGCCCUAAUACGGCGGGGGGAUGACGGUACCGGAAGAAUAAGCACCGGCUAACUACGUGCCAGCAGCCGCGGUAAUACGUAGGGUGCGAGCGUUAAUCGGAAUUACUGGGCGUAAAGCGUGCGCAGGCGGUGAUGUAAGACCGAUGUGAAAUCCCCGGGCUCAACCUGGGAACUGCAUUGGUGACUGCAUUGCUCGAGUAUGGCAGAGGGGGGUGGAAUUCCACGUGUAGCAGUGAAAUGCGUAGAGAUGUGGAGGAACACCGAUGGCGAAGGCAGCCCCCUGGGCCAAUACUGACGCUCAUGCACGAAAGCGUGGGGAGCAAACAGGAUUAGAUACCCUGGUAGUCCACGCCCUAAACGAUGUCAACUGGUUGUCGGGCCUUCAUUGGCUUGGUAACGUAGCUAACGCGUGAAGUUGACCGCCUGGGGAGUACGGUCGCAAGAUUAAAACUCAAGGAAUUGACGGGGUCAUAGCUG
rnacentral:rRNA from 1 species